UACGUAGGGUGCGAGCGUUGUCCGGAAUUACUGGGCGAAAGAGCUCGUAGGUGGUUUGUCGCGUUGUUCGUGAAAACUCACAGCUCAACUGUGGGCGUGCGGGCGAUACGGGCAGACUGGAGUACUGCAGGGGAGACUGGAAUUCCUGGUGUAGCGGUGGAAUGCGCAGAUAUCAGGAGGAACACCGGUGGCGAAGGCGGGUCUCUGGGCCGAUACUGACGCUGGAGGAGCGAAAGCGUGGGGAGCGAACAGG
rnacentral:rRNA from 1 species